UUUUUUUUCCAAUGAUUUUCUGAAAACAGAUCUAGUGUCAGAGAGAGAGAGAGAGAGAGAGAGAGAGAGAGAGAGAGAGAGAGAGAGAGAGAGAGAGAGAGAGGCGCUGGGUAAGCUGUGCUCGAGCUUUUGAAGGAAGGCAAAGACUUGACGGAAGAAGAGAUUUUCCUCUCUUGUGCUCUCGGCUGGUGUAUCGAAUGGGUAUGCGAAGAUUCAACCUUUUCUGAAUCUUGAGCAUGGAUUAUAGAACUAUACACUCUUUGUUUAGUUUCUGGCGAGCAAGGCGAAUAUAUAUAUUGUCCUAGAGUUCAUCAGUGGUGGAAGGCUUUUUGGCAAAAUUGUGAGUUUAUCAGUGCAGUUCAUUACUGCUAUAGCAGGAGACUCUACCACAAAGACUUAAAGCCGGAAAAAACUUGUUUCUUGAUGCUCAAGGAAAUCUGAAAGUCUGGUUUUGAAUUCAGCGCCUUGUCCCAAUAAGUCUCUUACCAUCAUUUUUAUUUGCCUGAGUUCCUACUGAGUUGUUUUUGAAAAAAACUACAUGCCAGAACAGAAGCUUCUGAAGGAUGGUUUCAUCAUCAGGAAACCAACCAAGAUCCACUCUCCUGAAGAAAUACUGAAAGUCAAAGAAGAUUGACAAGUACAUGUACCAUGUAUCGAGCAUACAAGGCGACGGAGAAACUCUGAUGUAUGUAGCAGACGACUCGAUAGAAGUCAACUCCGGUGACUAGGUGAUGCGACGACAGCACUCUGAAGGCGGAUGCUUAGUUUAGGUUUAGGUUAAUUAUGUUUUGGCGGCAUCACUCUGAAGGCGGAUGCUUAGUUUAGGUUUAGGUUAAUUAUGUUUUGGCUAAUUAUGUUUUAAUUUGUUUUUGGUUUAAUGUGUUCUUUAAUUUAUUUGUUUUUAACAACAUGAUGUUCAAUAAUUAUUUGUAUACUGAUUUUAAUUAAUAAAUAAAAUUUAAUUUUUAA